rnacentral:tRNA from 1 species
UGCGAGUGUGGUGGAACGGUAGACACGCUAUCUUGAGGGGGUAGUGGCAAAAGCUGUACGGGUUCAAAUCCCGUCACUCGCACCAU